UACAGAGGGUGCGAGCGUUAAUCGGAAUUACUGGGCGUAAAGCGCGCGUAGGCGGCUUUGCAAGUCGGGUGUGAAAUCCCCAGGCUUAACCUGGGAACUGCAUUCGAGACUGCAUUGCUAGAGUAUGGGAGAGGGAAGUGGAAUUUCCGGUGUAGCGGUGAAAUGCGUAGAUAUCGGAAGGAACAUCAGUGGCGAAAGCGGCGAUCUGGGAAGAUACUGACGCUGAGGUGCGAAAGCGUGGGGAGCAAACAGG
rnacentral:rRNA from 1 species